rnacentral:lncRNA from 1 species
AAAGGGAAGACAUUAGUAUCCUAAAAAUCUAUAGUAUUCUAGAGGAACCUCAUUGAAAAUUUGUAUAUUUGGCUUUAAAAUGGUGUUGUUUGCAAAUGAUUUGAGAGAUGAGAAGAGAAAUGUUUUUUUUUAUUAAUUUUGUGUUUGCCAAGACUUUCUGGGCCUCAUGCCUACGUACCAACAAAGUGCAAUGGUGGAUCAAAACCUCAUAGUUCAUGGUAAAAAUAACAAAGGUCUUUGUUUUGAUUCAUUUUUUUGGAAAAG